GUUAUUAGUCAAGGCUUUGGUGGAGGUUGUGUUAGUAUGUCCAUGGGUAGUGUUAUGAGCCUGGUGAUAGUUUGACAAGGCUUUGGUGGAGGUUGUGUUAGUAUGUCCAUGGGUAGUGUUAUGAGCCUGGUGAUAGUUUGACAAGGCUUUGGUGGAGGUUGUGUUAGUAUGUCCAUGGGUAGUGUUAUGAGCCUGGUGAUAGUUUGACAAGGCUUUGGUGGAGGUUGUGUUAGUAUGUCCAUGGGUAGUGUUAUGAGCCUGGUGAUAGUUUGACAAGGCUUUGGUGGAGGUUGUGUUAGUAUGUCCAUGGGUAGUGUUAUGACCCUAGUGAUAGUUUGACAAGGCUUUGGUAGGGGCUGUGUUAGUAUGUCCGUGGGUAGUGUUAUGACCCUAGUGAUAGUUUGACAAGGCUUUGGUAGGGGCUGUGUUAGUAUGUCCAUGGGUAGUGUUAUGACCCUAGUGAUAGUUUGACAAGGCUUUGGUGGAGGUUGUGUUAG